CUUGGAUCAGGCGCCGUGACCACCACCUCAUCACCAUCGACCUGCACACAUACACGAAUGACGAACGCUUCACCGUCUCCCACGCGCCGCCGUUCAAGAGCCUGGUGGGGGAAGAGGGGAAGGAGUGGACGCUGAGAAUCAAAUACGCACAGGCAAGAGACUCUGGAGCUUAUGAGUGCCAACUGUCCACUCACCCGCCCAUUGGCAUCAUCGCUAACCUCAGAGUCGUGCAGCCCGUCUCGGAGAUCACCGGCGGACCCGACCUCUAUGCUCAAGAGGGCAGCGACGUGACCCUCCUCUGCCGGCUCCGAAACUACACUGACCCGCCCAGCUACGUCUUCUGGUACCAUAGAGACCAGAUGAUUAAUUAUAAUAGCAACAGGAA
rnacentral:lncRNA from 1 species